GACGAACGCUGGCGGCGUGCUUAACACAUGCAAGUCGAAUGGAAAGGCCCUGCUUUUGUGGGGUGCUCGAGUGGCGAACGGGUGAGUAACACGUGAGUAACCUGCCCUUGACUUUGGGAUAACUUCAGGAAACUGGGGCUAAUACCGGAUAGGAGCUCCUGCUGCAUGGUGGGGGUUGGAAAGUUUCGGCGGUUGGGGAUGGACUCGCGGCUUAUCAGCUUGUUGGUGGGGUAGUGGCUUACCAAGGCUUUGACGGGUAGCCGGCCUGAGAGGGUGACCGGCCACAUUGGGACUGAGAUACGGCCCAGACUCCUACGGGAGGCAGCAGUGGGGAAUAUUGCACAAUGGGCGGAAGCCUGAUGCAGCAACGCCGCGUGCGGGAUGACGGACUUCGGGUUGUAAACCGCUUUCGCCUGUGACGAAGCGUGAGUGACGGUAAUGGGUAAAGAAGCACCGGCUAACUACGUGC
rnacentral:rRNA from 1 species